rnacentral:lncRNA from 1 species
GAAUGAAUGAAUCUCCAUAAAGAGCCCCAAGCAGCAGGGAGAGGGAGAGAGGAGGAGGAAGGAGAGGAGGAGGAAGAGCCGGAGCAGGGCAGGCAGCAGCAGACGUGACGCCGGCAGCUUCAACUAUGAUCAGUGCAUAAAUCUACCUGCAACACAGGAUGUUGGAAAAUUACCGAGAGACAGCAACGUCCUCCCUGCUGCUUGGUGAGAAAAGAAGGAUGCACCUUCAGGUUAGAUACUGGGCUUGGUGAGCACCUCGUGGGAUCCUGAAUGCUGUGUCCAGCGUGCCUCCCAGCCCCUGAGGACAACAACUAGCACACAUCCAGGACUGUGGCUGGGACCAGCAGCGACACACGGGCUCAGAGGUGAGCCGGGGGACCGAGCAGGGACAGCCAAACACACGGAGGCACGGGGAGAUGGGGACCAGCGCCGCGAUGUGCAGCAGAAAGAAAACGAGGAGAAGUACUAUAAAAAACGAGAGGAAGGCUUGUCUCUAAGCCUGAACAACUCCUCUGCACAGGCACUUAACUUCAUGACUCCCUCCUCGAGAUGCCAGAGGCUUGGUGAUGUGGGACCAGCCUCAGCCACCAAGGCCUUGGUAGCAGCCCCUGGCUGCUGGCUGCCGAGUACCGUGGGCACCGAGCUCCGCUUUCUCCACGGACGCUUCCCUCCCGCCUCUGAGCCAUGAGGAGAAGGGAGAGGCAAGCAAAGCUGCCCAAGGAGCACUAGCCCACACCUUCCCAGCCCCUGUCCUGUUCCCCGCUUCCAGCAGACCAGGAGCCCU